CUGCUCAAUGAAAUCAACUUUAAAUAGCUGCAGUAUUCAUAACUGUACAAAGGUAGCAUAAUAACUAGAUUAUUAAUUAUAAUCUUGUAUGAAAGAUUUAAUGAAAUAAAAACUAUCCCAAUUUAAAAAAAUAAAUUUUUUCUUUAAGUAAAAAAACUUAAAUAAAAUUAAAAGACGAGAAGACCCUAUAGAAUUUUAUAAAUAUAAUUUUAAAUUUUAAAAAAAAAUUUAUUUAAUUGGGGAGAUUAUAAAAUUUAAUAAACUUUUAUAUACAAAACCAUUUAUUAUUGAAUAAAAUAUAUUACAUUAAAAAAAUAAAAUAAAUUACCUUAGGGAUAACAGCAUAAUUUUUUUUUUAAGUUCAAAUUAAUAAAAAAGUUUAUGACCUCGAUGUUGAAUUAAGAUAUAAUUAAAAAGAAAAAAAAAUUAAUUUUUAAGUCUGUUCGACU
rnacentral:rRNA from 1 species